rnacentral:misc_RNA from 1 species
GAUGAAGAACGUAGCGAAAUGCGAUAAGUAGUGUGAAUUGCAGAAUUCAGUGAAUCAUCGAAUCUUUGAACGCACAUUGCGCCCCUUGGUAUCCCGAGGGGCAUGCCUGUUCGAGCGUCAUUUCACCACUCAAGCCUGGCUUGGUGUUGGGCGACGUCCCCUUUAGGGACGCGCCUCGAAACGCUCGGCGGCGUGGCACCGGCUUUAAGCGUAGCAGAAUCUUUCGCUUUGGAAGUCGGGGCCCCGCCUGCCGGAAUACCUACUCGUAAGGUUGACCUCGUAUCAGGCAGGGAUACCCGCUGAACUUAAGCAUAUCAAUAAGCGGAGGA